rnacentral:rRNA from 1 species
CUGGGCGUAAGCGUGCCGUCGGUGGUUAAGUAAGUUUUUCGUUCAAGCCUGGGGCCCAACUCCAGAUCGGCGGAGAAAACUACUUAACUUGAGUCUGUUCGGGGAACUUAGAAUUCUCGGUGGAGGGGUGAAAUCCGUAGAUAUCGAGAGGAAUACCAUACGCGAAGGCAGAGUUCUAGGACAGCACUGACACUCGGGGACGACAGCUCGGGGAGCAAAAGGGAUUAGAGACCCCUGUAGUCCGAGCCGUAAACUUUCUUUGCUAGCUGGUUCACGUAAGUGGGCUGGCGUAAGUUAACACGUUAAGCAAAGCGCCUGGGGAGUACGACCGCAAGGUUAAAACUCAAAGGAAUUGACGGGGGAGCGCACAACCAGUGGAGCAUGUGGUUUAAUUCGAUACGAAGCGAAAAACCUUACCUAGGUUUGACAUGUACCUGCACGGUUCUGGAAACAGAUCCUUCUUCGAGAGUGGUACACAGGUGAUGCAUGGCUGUCGUCAGCUCGUGUCGUGAGACGUCCGCUUAAGUGCGGUAACGAGCGCAACCCUUAUCGCCAGUUUAAUGUGUCUGGCGAGACUGCCUUUGUUUUUACAAGGGAGGAAGGAGAGGACGACGUCAAGUCAGCACGU